AUGAAUGCUGGCGGCGUGCCUAAUACAUGCAAGUCGAGCGGUAACAGGGUUUCACCGUUUCCUUGACACACCUAGCGUAUUAUCGUAGGUUGUAGUUUCGAGGGAACAGUGAAACUGCUGACGAGCGGCGGACGGCUGAGUAACGCGUGGGAACGGACCCCAAACUGAGGGAUAACUAGUCGAAAGAUUAGCUAAUACCGCAUGUGAUCUUCGGAUUAAAGGAUUUAUCCGGUUUGGGACUGGCCUGCGUAGGAUUAGAUAGUUGGUAGGGUAAUGGCCUACCAAGUCGACGAUCCUUAGAUGGUUUGAGAGGAUGAUCAUCCAGACUGGGACUGAGACACGGCCCAGACUCCUACGGGAGGCAGCAGUAGGGAAUCUUUCACAAUGGGCGAAAGCCUGAUGGAGCCAACGCCGCGUGCAGGAUGACGGCCUUCGGGUUGUAAACUGCUUUUAUAUCCGAGAAAUAUGAUGGUAAGAUAUGAAUAAGGAUCGGCUAACUACGUGCCAGCCGCCGC
rnacentral:rRNA from 1 species